rnacentral:rRNA from 1 species
GACGUAGGGGGCGAGCGUUGUCCGGAAUCAUUGGGCGUAAAGCGCGUGUAGGCGGUUCGGUAAGUCUGCUGUGAAAGUCCAGGGCUCAACCCUGGGAUGCCGGUGGAUACUGCUGAACUAGAGUGCGGAAGAGGCGAGUGGAAUUCCCGGUGUAGCGGUGAAAUGCGCAGAUAUCGGGAGGAACACCAAUUGCGAAGGCAGCUCGCUGGGACGUUACUGACGCUGAGACGCGAAAGCGUGGGGAGCAAACAGG